GCCUUGACAGAUCUUUGCACUAACCGACACGUCGUUUCGUAAUUUCCGUUUCGAAUCUCGGAAGGUAGUGGAAAAGAAGAACCCAAAGUAGCUACUGUGUUGAGUUACAUAAUACUCUAUUACCAGAGUGAAGAAUCAAUCACCCCUAAUUACUAGAUUCUCUUGGAAAUUGAAUUACAGAUUUCUUCUAAUUUUCCAAUCUCAGCUGCUGUGCAGGAAGGCUCCAAUCUCUCUCUCUAGUUGUACACUACAGGAGUUGAGAAAGCAAAAAGAAGAAUCGAGGAGGAGAAAUGUCGGUGCAGGAAUACCUAGACAAGCACGUGCUCUCUCGUAAAAUCGAAGACGCCGUCAAUGCCGCCGUCAGGGCCAAAACUCCCGAUCCUGUUCUCUUCAUAUCAAAUCACAUGAGAAAAGCGGUUCCGUCAGUGAUAACGAAAAUAAAAGGGAGGCAGAUCCUGGAUAGCAGAGGAAUUCCUACUGUUGAAGUUGACUUGUUCACCAACAAAGGCAGCUUCCGUGCUUCUGUUCCUAGCGGUCAUGUUACUGGCAUGUAUGAAGCUGUAGAACUGAGAGAUGGGGACAAAGGAAUGUAUCUCGGAAACAGUGUGACUAGAGCUGUUAAGAACAUUAAUGAGAAGAUAUCUGAAGCGCUGAUUGGCAUGGACCCGACACUUCAGUCUCAAAUUGAUCAGGCUAUGAUAGACUUGGACAAAACAGAAAAGAAGGGUGAACUUGGAGCAAAUGCUAUGUUAGCUGUGUCAAUUGCUGCAUGCAAAGCUGGAGCCGCUGAAAAGGAGGUUCCACUUUACAAACACAUUUCUGAUCUUUCCAGCAAAACCAACCCGACUCUUCCUGUCCCAGCCUUCACUGUCAUAAGUGGUGGAAAACAUGGUGGGAACAAUCUAGCCAUUAAGGAAAUCAUGAUUCUUCCAAUUGGAGCCAGCACAUUUGAGGAGGCACUACAAAUGGGUUCCGAAACAUACCAUCAUCUAAAGGCUGUUAUAAAAGAAAAAUAUGGUGAACAAGGAUGCAAUGUUGGUGAAGAUGGUGGUUUUUCUCCAAACUUAUCCAGUGUUCAAGAAGGAUUGAAUAUUGUUAAAGAGGCUAUCAGCAGAACAGGGUACAGUGAGAAAAUUAAGAUGGCCAUUGAUGUCGCUGCUACCACCUUUUGCAUAGGUACCAAGUAUGAUUUGGACUACAAAUUCCAAAAUAAAUCUGGGCAGAAUUUCAAGUCAGGAGAUGAUAUGAUUAAGAUGUAUGAAGAACUAUGUGCUGCGUACCCGAUUGUUUCGAUUGAAGAUCCAUUUGAUAGGGAGGAUUGGGAACAUGUCAAGCGUUUCUCUGACCUUGGACUUUGUCAGGUUGUAGGGGAUGACUUAUUGAUGUCAAAUCACAAACGUAUUGAAAGAGCAAUACAUGAGUCCAGUUGCACUGCACUUCUUCUCAAGGUAAAUCAGAUUGGGACAGUAACAGAAGCCCUUGAAGUGGUGAAGCUGGCAAAGGAUGCCCACUGGGGUGUGGUGGUAUCUCAUAGAAGUGGAGAAACAGAAGAUUCUUUUAUAGCUGAUUUAUCUGUUGGCCUUGCCAUGGGUCAGAUCAAAACAGGCGCUCCUUGCAGGGGAGAGCGACUAGCAAAAUACAACCAGUUGCUUCGGAUUGAGGAAGAACUGGGUGAUCAAGCAGUUUAUGCAGGUGAAGAUUGGAGAGCAACCUGAUCAGUCCUUUAAAGUUUUUCAUCCUGCAGUCCUUUAUAAUCUAAGUUUGAGGCUUCAAAAGUAAAACUCCCUUUGUAUUGAGCAAGUGGCAUUCUGGAGCAAUGUUUUCAUUUCCUACCAUCGGUCACCUAAAUGGCUUUUGUGGCUAGCAUGUCCUCAUGUGCGUUUCCAUUACGUUCUGUUGUUAGAUUAAAUGUUUUGAUCCGAUACCAGUAGCCAGGAAAUUUAUGGUUGGCACUCAAAAGUUUGGAAAAAAAUUGUGUUAGCUUCUUUAUGAUGUUUUGAGUACGAUAUGGUGGCAUGCUGCUAAAAACUCGAUAUCAUCUGAAAGAAAGAAACUAAUGGAUCAUUGUUAGGAGGGAAACAUCCCCUAUUGCAUUUAACAUGUGAACCGAAACGACACUGGAACCUUUAUAUAUAUAUUUUUUAUAUUAUUAUUAUUGAUUGAUUGCCA